rnacentral:lncRNA from 1 species
UGUAACUUUACAGCCCAGCUCUGGGUUCCUGGGCUGGAAGAAAAUGUCACUUUCUGUUCACGUGGUCCUUACAUGGUCCCGCACAGAGAAUGUGUGUGGGUGCAUGUGUACACGUGCACAUGUGUAGACAUGUAUAAUGCAUGUCGAGUGCGCACCGACAUGUGUGGUAUGUUUGUGUAGACAUGUAUAAUGCAUGUCGAGUGUGUAUCCACAUGCGUUGUAUGUUUGUGUGUGCCUCUGGGUGUGUGUGUAGCAUGUGCAUAUGUGUGUACAUUGUGUAAGUACUUGUGUGUGGUUGGCAGACAUUGGCAGACACAUAUGCAUGUGCAGUGUGUUAUAUAUUACAUGCACAUGUGUAUGUGUAUGUGGUGUGUACAUGUGUGUGUGAGGAUGCAUAGGAUUGCACAUACACGUGGCUUGUGUGUGUCUGUAUUGUGUGCAUAUGACCGUAUAGAUGUGCACGUGUGAUGUGUGUGGUGCUGUGGGGAGCCCUCCAGGGUUUCAUCACUGUCAGCUCCUGACCCUGCACCCAUGGUAGGCUGCCUCGUCUGCUGGGCCCCCCCAGCACAGAGUCCUCUCAGGCCGCCCCAUCCUUGCGGGCUUUCAGAAGCCCCU